CGAGCGCACCGCUUGUGACUCUUGAACCCCUCCCACAGGCAUACCUGGUCGUCCUGCAGGCUUGCCAUCUUCGCUCUUUUCGUUUUGGCUUCACACAAAACUUUUUGUCGUGUCCCCCUCGCAUCUUUGCUUGCGUCUUCCCCGUCUUCUUUACUGACUGCGGUGCUUUCCCCGUCAGCGUCGCCUCCUUCCCCUUCCCGUCCUCCCUCUUCAUCUCCCCCUUUUCACAGGUGCUCUGCGUGCGCUGGACGGUAGCAUUCUUCCACCUCUUCUCGUUUUCUGCUCCGCUACCACCAUCACGUGUGCUUUCCGUGGCAUUGCGCCGAAUAUUUCGUGCGUUGCUAAACCCCUAUUCACCGACAACCACAUUAUCACAUUACUUCCCUCAUCUUUCGUUUCAGUCGUUUUCUAUAUUAACUCUGCCGCUCGAGCGACCGCUACCCUAACUAGAGUAGCGUCUCGAUAUCACACGGACACAAGCACACUUGUGCAAAAAGGGGUAGUGCUGCAUUAAAAGUCAAGGCCACGUUUUGCACGUGUUGAGGGCUUCAUAGGGCUGCAUCUGGGCUGCAUUUCACUGCGCUGGCUUUCAUCUCUUCGUUUUCGUUUUCCUUCUUUAGCUCUUAGUGACCAAUCGGGUGACAUUGCUGUGUGCCAGAUGAUGCGUACUUCUGCCGUGGUGACGACGCUCGCCGUGACCGCGGCGCUGCUUGCCCUGCUCAGCGUCUCUGUCGCAGUGAGCGCGGUGAACCUGCUGCCGCUGAUGGGUGAGGGAUUGUUCGAUGUCGAGGUGGUGUGCCGCAGCGCCAUGCCGAGUGAGCCGACGGUCUACGACAGAUCCGUGAUCAGUGCAUUUCGCUUCUCCGUCAAUGCGAGCGCGGACAGCACGAAAGAGAAAGUGCACCUCCCAUUAUACGUGGAGCGCAUCCUAGACAGCGACUACGUCCGUACCUACUACAUCAACUCUACCGACAAGUACAGCAUCUCCGACUCCAAGGGCUGUGUGCACACGAAGGGGUUGUAUGAAUCCUCGGACGAGGUGCUCUUGUCUGAGAGUCUCAUUACUAUGCUGCGUUCCCCGCUCUCAGCGACACCCAGCCCGAGCAUGAUUCGCGGUAUUGCCGCCGAUAACUACUCGAGCCAGUAUAACCUCACGAUUCCGAGCAGUUACGGUGGUCUUGGGUCGCCCGCCACUUACCGCGCCGCUGUGUUGACGAGCACGCAGCACUGGUUGGUGAACUUGAUGCAGGUGGACCUGACGCCGGUGUCGAUCGAGGUGAUGACAACAGACUCCGCCAGCAAGAUUAACAACUGCCUGUUUACUUUCUCCUUCUUUGGCUCGAACGUGUCCGCCGUGCGGGGGUCUCUUCCGUCCUCCUGCAAAAACUCAUCCUCUGAGCACCCACGAGACUGGAAGUCGUCGAACGUUGCUCUGCCGAUGAUGAGAGCCCUCGCGGGCGCUGCCAAGGCCUUUUCAUCGCGGCCCAGUGUCUUCAGCAGCUCGAGUGAGACAUCGUCAUCAACCUCAGCAGCGGACACUGCCAACUACACGAUGCCAGCGUUUCCUGAUGAUUUCACAGCAAAUUUCCUUGUCGUUUCGCCGCUUAAGAAGUCCUUCUACCAGGUUCGCGAGUCCUACAGCCUCUAUGCGGGUUUCUCCUUCACCAGCUUGCAGUUCCCCCUGAAGGGUAUCGCUGGUCGCGUGUACAAGCACGAGUGGUACACCAACUCGUGGAAUCAGAUGUCGUACUACCACACCGAGUUUGCAGUGCCGAGCGGCCAGGAGAUGGCCGACGAGGCUCUGCGCAAGUACUUCUUCCCUGACCUGAACACCUGCAGACGCGUCGUCAUUGCCUACGACUUGAUGGCCAGGAGCUCCAGCUCCCUGCUGCUCUACUCGCCAAAUGUGCCGCCGACGUUUAUCGGCAACCAGACGGUGCGCAACAUCCCGUGUGGGGUGUGGGUGGCGGAGAUACAAGGCGUCCGUGUAACGUGGUACUGGGCGACUACUGAUUUGGUGGACACGGCGUCGUUCUGGACCGUCGACAGCAUAGAAAGUGGCGCGUCGGCUUACACCCGGCUGGUGCGCAUGACGGUGACCGGCAAGGGCGGCGCCCCGCCGCUGUUCGCGCACCACCCCUUCUUCCCGCAAAGCUACGCCUUCCCUGUGGAUGAUCGUGAUGUGGCGUGCACUGCGAUGAUGCCUUCUGAGGCGGAUAUGGGCUGCUACAGCUACGCCAAAAACGCUGAUUACACUUACAUAUACGAAAUCACGUCUUUUGUGCCGUACGUUCGAAGGAAUGACUAUCGUCUCCCUGCCGCGUGCGUCGGCGUCAAGAUAUUGGGCUCAAUCCCCAGCUUUCAGUGCAACUACAAAGGCAUCACGGGCGGCGUGGCGUCCAUACUGCUGGCUGUGGUUGCGCUGCUGUUCUCCCUUGCGGGCGGGUGCUGCGUGUGGUGCCCCUUCUCCCGAAUUGUGCGUCACCAACAGGAUGAGCUGGCGCGAUUCACGUGGGAGAUAGGUCUUGCUCAAAGCGCGAACGGCACUGAGGGGCAUGACACAACGGGCGUCGGCGCCAAAGGCGAACCUGGUGGCAGGAACCCUUCCUCGUGAGGCUUUCUUCAAGAGAUGCGCCGUGACUUUGCGGCUGUCGCAUUCCUGUUUCCCUUCCUCUCUCCGACGUCUGCCAUGAUCGCUCUUUCACCCCCGUUUUUCAGCGGAUCUCUCCUUGUUUCCCCUUUUCCCGUUGGCGCCGCCUUUGAGGUGUGUGUAGUCACGUUAGCCGAUGCUGUUGUGGGGCAAAAACGCUGGGUUCACUGUAUCCCUGUUUUUCCCCCUUUUCACUCUUCCCUGCUUUAUUGUCUUUGCGGGCACGUCCAUUGUAGUGUCAAGGGUGCAAAAGACCUCCUCUGGCGUGCCACUGCAACAUGGUGGCGGGCCUCUUCCCCCCCCCCCCCUCCACUUCUUCCUCGCUCCCCUUGCUGCUUCACUGUGCGCCCCCUUUGUCUUUCCCCUUUCCCACUUUCGCCAUUGGUUGUCUUACCGUGCUUUUUCUUAUAUCGGAGAGGCCCCUCGGCUGUGACGCACUUAUGUGUGGGCUGCGCAUAUGCAUAUGCAUGUUUAUGUUGGCCGCGCAAAGUGUGGAGCGUGCUCUC
rnacentral:misc_RNA from 1 species